rnacentral:misc_RNA from 2 species
GUGGGAGCCGAGCUUGCUCGCGAUGGCGGUAGUUCAGUCAGCAUCGAUGCCAUCUGAUCCGACGCUAUCGCGAGCAAGCUCGGCUCCCAC